rnacentral:rRNA from 1 species
UACGGAGGGGACUAGCGUUGUUCGGAAUUACUGGGCGUAAAGCGCACGUAGGCGGAUUUGUAAGUCAGGGGUGAAAUCCCGAGGCUCAACCUCGGAACUGCCUUUGAUACUGCAAAUCUCGAGUCCGGAAGAGGUGAGUGGAAUUCCUAGUGUAGAGGUGAAAUUCGUAGAUAUUAGGAAGAACACCAGUGGCGAAGGCGGCUCACUGGUCCGAUACUGACGCUGAGGUGCGAAAGCGUGGGGAGCAAACAGGG